GGGGAGUAUAAACUUAAAGGAAUUGACGGAAUGGCACCACCAGGAGUGGAGCAUGCGGCUUAAUUUGACUCAACACGGGGAAACUUACCAGGUCCACACAUAGUAAGGAUUGACAGACUGAGAGGCCUUUCUUGAUUCUAUGGGUGGUGGUGCAUGGCCGUUCUUAGUUGGUGUAGCGAUUUCUCUAGUUAAUUUCAUUAACAAACGAGACCUCAGCCUGCUAACUAGCUACGUGGUGGCAUCCCUUCACGGCCGGCUUCUUAGUGGGACUAUGGCCGUUUAGGCCGAGGAAGUUUGAGUCAAUAAAAGGUAUGUGAUGCCCUUAGAUGUUCUGGGCCGCACGUGCGCUACACUGAUGUAUUCAACGAGUUUACACCUUGGCCGACAGGCCCAGGUAAUCUUUGAAAUUUCAUCGUAAUGGGGAUAGAUCAUUGCAAUUGUUGGUCUUCAACGAGGAAUUUCUAGUAAGCGCGAGUCAUCCGCUCGUGUUGACUACGUCCCUGCCCUUUGUACACACCGCCCGUCGCUCCUACCCAUUGAAUGAUCCGGUGAAGUGUUUGGAUCGCGGCGACGUGGGUGGUUCGCCGUCUGCGACGUCGCGAGAAGUCAACUAAACCUUAUCAUUUAGAGGAAGGAGAAGUCGUAACAAGGUUUCGGUAGGUGAACCUGCAGAAG
rnacentral:ncRNA from 2 species